rnacentral:misc_RNA from 1 species
GAUGAAGAAUGCAGCGAAAUGCGAUACGUAGUGUGAAUUGCAGAAUUCAGUGAAUCAUCGAAUCUUUGAACGCACAUUGCACCUCUCGGUAUUCCGGGAGGUAUGCCUGUUCGAGCGUCAUUUGUACCCUCAAGCUCUGCUUGGUGUUGGGUGUUUGUUCCGCCUCUGUGUGUGAACUCGCCUCAAAACAAUUGGCAGCCGGCGUACUUGUUUCGGAGCGCAGCACAUUUUGCGAUCCAGAUCAACGUACAGCGGCAUCCAAGAAGCCUUAUUUAACGCUCUUGACCUCGGAUCAGGUAGGGAUACCCGCUGAACUUAAGCAUAUCAAUAAGCGGAGGA